rnacentral:tRNA from 1 species
GCGGAUGUAGCUCAGCUGGCAGAGCGCCACCCUUCCAAGGUGGAUGUCGCGGGGUUCGAUGCCCGUCGUCCGCU